AGCAGGCAUCAAGAGAGCAUCCCAGCAGUGCCAUCACAACACAGGGCUCGAAUGUGGACAGGAGGAGGACCUAAGUGGACCCGGAGGCUGAGCUGGCCUCGCAGCACUGGUGGUGGGGGAGGGCUGAUGGUCAGGACUCUGGGUCUUUGGCACUGCUGCCUAGGCCGUGGCCCUCAGUCUGCCCAUCUGUGAAAUGAGGGGGAGCUGGUCCUGACUGCCUCCCAGGGACCCUGUGAAAAGCCGCUCUGAACUCCUUGCCAGAGAGGAGGUUUGCCGGUGCCACAAUCCAGAAUCCCUUCUGGGUCUUUGAUUCCUGGGUCAGAUGCCUCAAGAUGGCUGUGCAGGAGGCCCCGUGUCAUGGUGUGAGCUGUGACCCCGGCCAGGGCGGCUGCAUCAGAGAGAGGCUGGGGACACAGGAGGACAGAGCUGAGAUUUCUUUACAUCACAGUGGUUCAAGGAGAAAAACACAGCCAGAUCCUUCCUCAUCUCAACAUAAAUUAAACCCAGAGGCAGUCAGCGCCACAGUCCACACUCGUAACCGUUACACUCACCUGGAAAUAAAAGUAUUUUUGUGCGGGGACUGCAAGGACUAAGCCCGGCCGCACUCCGAGUUUCUCCUCCUCACAGACUGGAUGAUGAGAGGCACAGCUGAGUCCGGAGCAGACUGAGCCACCUAAGAGGGGAGGAACCGCUGCAGAGAAACCGUGUUAAGCCUUUUUGAAGUUCCAGAGGGAGAACAAGAGAGCGGAGGCUCCUGGUGGCUGGUGACAGGUGCUGAUUUGUUCUGGGGAAAGAGCACAGAAAAGUGCCUGGAGAGGAGGCGGGGCCAAAAUGGGAUGUAGGCGAUGGGAAGGACCCUCAAGACACAGUCCUGGGCUCCCAGGCAGGACCAACCCCCAAACCUGUCCCCCCAGGAGCCUGCAGAGCCACUGCCCUGACAGGGGACACCUCACUUCCUCUCCUUGCAGCUGCUCUUGGCUGGGAGAGCAGAGAACAGGGGACAGGAGAGAAGCCCCGAGAGUACUGAAGCUGAGGCUGGGGCGGUCUUCACUUCCCUCUUUCCUCGGCCCUUUUCCUGUUCUCUUGUCUUGUCUCUCUUUCUCUACUUUCCUUCUCCCUAGCCCAGUCUCUCACCGCUCUUCAGCCUCUGGGCCUUUCCUUCUUCCUCUCUUGCCCUCAUUCUUCCUUCUCUGUCCCUCUUGUCUUCUCUUUUACCUCUUCUCUUCUUCCCUCCUUCCUACAGCUAUGCCCUCUUCCCUCCUUUCUCUUGUCCCCAACCAGGGCAUUAGAAAUGCAUUCCAGUUACACUGAUCUGAUCACUGCAUAUUGUAUGCAUGCAUCAAAAUAUCACAUGUACCCCAGAAAUAUGUAAAUUACUGCAUAUCAAUAAAAAGAAAUGUAGCUUCUUUGCCUCACA
rnacentral:lncRNA from 1 species